rnacentral:rRNA from 1 species
GUUUGAUCCUGGCUCAGGACGAACGCUGGCGGCGCACCUAAGACAUGCAAGUCGGACGGUCCCUUCGGGGACAGUGGCGGACGGGUGAGUAACACGUGGGGGACCUGCCCUUUGGUGGGGGAUAACACCGGGAAACCGGUGCUAAGACCGCAUACGACCCAGGGCAUAGGGGCCGUGGGGGAAAUGCUGCGAAGCAGCCGAAGGAGGGCCUUGCGGCGGAUUAGCUAGUUGGAGGGGUGACGGCCCACCAAGGCGACGAUCCGUAGCUGGUCUGAGAGGACGGCCAGCCACACCGGGACUGAGACACGGCCCGGACUCCUGCGGGAGGCAGCAGUUAGGGAAUUUUCACAAUGGGCGCAAGCCUGAUGGAGUGACGCCGCGUGCGGGAGGAAGGCCUUCGGGUCGUAAACCGCUUUUUACGGGGACGAGAGAGACGGUACCCGUAGAAGAAGCCCCGGCUAACUACGUGCCAGCAGCCGCGGUAAUACGUAGGGGGCGAGCGUUGUCCGGAAUUACUGGGCGUAAAGAGCGCGUAGGCGGCCUGGUACAUCCCCUGUGAAAGCCCGCGGCUCAACUGCGGGAGGCCAGGGGAGAUGGCGAGGCUAGAGGGUGGUAGAGGCAGGUGGAAGUCCCGAAGUAGUGGUGAAAUGCGUAGAGAUCGGGAGGAACACCAGUGGCGAAGGCGGCCUGCUGGGCCACUACUGACGCUGAGGCGCGAAAGCCAGGGGAGCGAACGGAAUUAGAUACUCCGGUAGUCCUGGCCCUAAACGAUGGGCACCAGGUGCGGGGGGACUCGACCCCCUCCGCGCCGCCGCCAACGCGAUGAGUGCCCCGCCUGGGGAGUACGGCCGCAAGGCUAAAACUCAAAGGAAUUGACGGGGGCCCGCACAAGCAGCGGAGCGUGUGGUUUAAUUCGACGCAACGCGCAGAACCUUACCGAGGCUUGACAUGCCGCAGACGGCCGGUGAAAGCCGGCGUCCCUUCGGGCUGCGGCACAGUGUUGCAUGGCUG